UACAGAGGUCCCAAGCGUUGUUCGGAUUCACUGGGCGUAAAGGGCUCGUAGGCGGCCAACUAAGUCGGAUGUGAAAUCCCCAGGCUUAACCUGGGAACUGCAUCCGAUACUGGAUGGCUUGAAUCCGGGAGAGGGAUGCAGAAUUCCAGGUGUAGCGGUGAAAUGCGUAGAUAUCUGGAGGAAUACCGGUGGCGAAGGCGGCAUCCUGGACCGGCAUUGACGCUGAUGAGCGAAAGCUAGGGGAGCAAACGGG
rnacentral:rRNA from 1 species